rnacentral:rRNA from 1 species
GACGAACGCUGGCGGCGUGCUUAACACAUUCAAGUCGAACGGAAAGGCCCUGCUUUUGUGGGGUGCUCGAGUGGCGAACGGGUGAGUAACACGUGAGUAACCUGCCCUUGACUUUGGGAUAACUUCAGGAAACUGGGGCUAAUACCGGAUAGGAGCUCCUGCUGCAUGGUGGGGGUUGGAAAGUUUCGGCGGUUGGGGAUGGACUCGCGGCUUAUCAGCUUGUUGGUGGGGUAGUGGCUUACCAAGGCUUUGAAGGGUAGCCGGCCUGAGAGGGUGACCGGCCACAUUGGGACUGAGAUACGGCCCAGACUCCUACGGGAGGCAGCAGUGGGGAAUAUUGCACAAUGGGCGGAAGCCUGAUGCAGCAACGCCGCGUGCGGGAUGACGGCCUUCGGGUUGUAAACCGCUUUCGCCUGUGACGAAGCGUGAGUGACGGUAAUGGGUAAAGAAGCACCGGCUAACUACGUG